CCUACGGGAGGCAGCAGUGGGGAAUAUUGGACAAUGGGCGAAAGCCUGAUCCAGCAAUGCCGCGUGAGUGAAGAAGGCCUUCGGGUUGUAAAGCUCUUUUACCCGGGAAGAUAAUGACUGUACCGGGAGAAUAAGCCCCGGCUAACUCCGUGCCAGCAGCCGCGGUAAUACGGAGGGGGCUAGCGUUGUUCGGAAUUACUGGGCGUAAAGCGUACGUAGGCGGCUUUGUAAGUCAGAGGUGAAAGCCCACGACUCAAUCGUGGAACUGCCUUUGAGACUGCUUCGCUUGAAGAUGGGAGAGGUUAGUGGAAUUCCGAGUGUAGAGGUGAAAUUCGUAGAUAUUCGGAAGAACACCAGUGGCGAAGGCGGCUAACUGGACCAUUCUUGACGCUGAGGUACGAAAGCGUGGGGAGCAAACAGGAUUAGAUACCCUGGUAGUCCACGCCGUAAACGAUGAUAACUAGCUGUCGGGGCUCUUGGAGCUUCGGUGGCGCAGCUAACGCAUUAAGUUAUCCGCCUGGGGAGUACGGCCGCAGGUUAAAACUCAAAGGAAUUGACGG
rnacentral:rRNA from 1 species